UUACAUUAUAAAUUUUUUUGAAAUACAUGAGUAAUUUCAUAACGGCUAGUUUUGAGAGAAAAUGUGACGUUGACGAUUUUAUAGUUUUGAAACAGCUAAUAUAUGUAUUAUUAAAAUAUAAAAUAUCCGCUGAUUGUUUUGAGCAUGGCCUCCUUGAUGUAUUGAGGCAACUUCGUUGUUCAGGCCUGGCGCAUCUUUAAGUUCGGCUGAUUCUCCACUGGCGCUGCAUUUAGCGGACUGACGUUUAUUUGACAAAUACCAUUUUUGAGGUUAAAGACUAAUAAAUUUGAAAGAUGUAAGUGUGCAUUCGUGAAAUACGUUGAAAAUGUGAGGAUAAUUCUAAAGUUAUGCCCUGAAUGAACGUUUGGAUAGUCUUCAGAAGAUAUACAAAUUAUUUUAAGGUGAAUUGAUUGUUCAUCGUUUAUAAGUAUUUUAAGCAUAACCUACGGCACUAGUACGCAGACACAGAUGCAGAGAAAACGAUGUUUCAAAGAACCUUCCAUUUAUUAUGCAUACUCUAUGGUUUUACCAAUGGUUAAGGUUGAAUGCGUUACAAAUCUGUGAUUUUUAAGACAUGGCUUAAGUUUUCUGAAAGGUAUUUGCAACCUUUUAACCAGCAGAUAUUUGCAAUACAUUGUUUAGUUUUAGUAAAAUGUACAAAGGAAGUCGUUUUUUCAAAUGAAAUGGUUUAAAAAAGCUCGAUCCAGCGUUCUUCUGCUAGAGUGUCUCUGAACCGUCCGUUCCAAAGUCCCUGUCUGGACCUCUGCUCACUCUCAAGCACCGCUCGUGGAUCACCAAACUCCCGAAAAAAAUCUACUACUUUAUAAAUUUCUUUGAGUUUUUGUAUUUAGAAAUUAUCAAUUACAUUGUGGGCUCUUUUUCACCUUCUCUUAUGAUGAUUGUACUUGUUAAAUUCAAUUUUUUUUCGGAUUUAACCUCACAAAUGCUAUUUGUCACAUAAACGUCAGUGCGCUAAAUAGGGCGCCAUCUACGGUUUCGAAAAAACCGCUGAAGCUUAUCGAUGCGCCAGGCCUGAACAACGAAGUUGUCUCCAUACAUCAAGGAGGCCAUGGU